UUAAAUGAAUUGACGGGGCCGCACAAGCGGUGGAGCAUGUGGUUAAUUCGACGCAACGCGAAGAACCUUACCAGGGCUUGACAUCCCCUGACCGCGUAUGGAAAGUACGGUUUUCACCCUCGGGUGACAGGGAGACAGGUGGUGCAUGGUUGUCGUCAGCUCGUGUCGUGAGAUGUUGGGUUAAGUCCCGCAACGAGCGCAACCCCUACGUUUAGUUGCUAACGCGUGAAGGCGAGCACUCUAGACGAACUGCCGUUGACAAAACGGAGGAAGGUGGGAUGACGUCAAAUCAUCAUGCCCCUUAUGUUCUGGGCUACACACGUGCUACAAUGGCCGGUACAGACGGACGCAAAGCCGCGAGGUGGAGCAAAUCCUAAAAAGCCGGUCUCAGUUCGGAUUGCAGGCUGCAAUUCGCCUGCAUGAAGUCGGAAUCGCUAGUAAUCGCAGGUCAGCAUACUGCGGUGAAUACGUUCCCGGGCCUU
rnacentral:rRNA from 1 species